UUGUCUCAAAGAUUAAGCCAUGCAUGUCUCAGUACAAGCCGAAUUAAGGUGAAACCGCGAAAGGCUCAUUAAAUCAGUUAUGGUUCCUUAGAUCGUACCCACAUUUACUUGGAUAACUGUGGUAAUUCUAGAGCUAAUACAUGCAAACAGAGCUCCGACCGGAGACGGAAGGAGCGCUUUUAUUAGAUCAAAACCAAUCGGUGGCGGGUUCGCUCGUCAUCGUAUAACUUGGUGACUCUGAAUAACUUUAAGCUGAUCGCACGGUCUAGCACCGGCGACGCAUCUUUCAAAUGUCUGCCUUAUCAACUGUCGAUGGUAGGUUCUGCGCCUACCAUGGUCGUAACGGGUAACGGGGAAUCAGGGUUCGAUUCCGGAGAGGGAGCCUGAGAAACGGCUACCACAUCCAAGGAAGGCAGCAGGCGCGCAAAUUACCCACUCCCGGCACGGGGAGGUAGUGACGAAAAAUAACGAUACGGGACUCAUCCGAGGCCCCGUAAUCGGAAUGAGUACACUCUAAACCCUUUAACGAGGAUCAAUUGGAGGGCAAGUCUGGUGCCAGCAGCCGCGGUAAUUCCAGCUCCAAUAGCGUAUAUUAAAGUUGUUGCGGUUAAAAAGCUCGUAGUCGAAUUUGUGUCCCACGCCGCCGGUUCAUCGUCCGCGGUGUCAACUGGCGUGUCGCGGGACGUCCUGCCGGUGGGCUUAGCUCGCAAGGGCGACGCCCAACUCAAUCCCGCCGCGGUGCUCUUCACUGAGUGUCGAGGUGGGCCGGCACGUUUACUUUGAACAAAUUAGAGUGCUUAAAGCAGGCUAAAAUUUCGCCUGAAUACUGUGUGCAUGGAAUAAUGGAAUAGGACCUCGGUUCUAUUUUGUUGGUUUUCGGAACCCCGAGGUAAUGAUUAAUAGGAACGGAUGGGGGCAUUCGUAUUGCGACGUUAGAGGUGAAAUUCUUGGACCGUCGCAAGACGGACAGAAGCGAAAGCAUUUGCCAAAAACGCUUUCAUUGAUCAAGAACGAAAGUUAGAGGUUCGAAGGCGAUCAGAUACCGCCCUAGUUCUAACCAUAAACGAUGCCAGCUAGCGAUCCGCCGACGUUCCUCCGAUGACUCGGCGGGCAGCUUCCGGGAAACCNAAGCUUUUGGGUUCCGGGGGAAGUAUGGUUGCAAAGCUGAAACUUAAAGGAAUUGACGGAAGGGCACCACCAGGAGUGGAGCCUGCGGCUUAAUUUGACUCAACACGGGAAAUCUCACCAGGCCCGGACACCGGAAGGAUUGACAGAUUGAGAGCUCUUUCUUGAUUCGGUGGGUGGUGGUGCAUGGCCGUUCUG
rnacentral:rRNA from 1 species